UACGUAGGGUGCAAGCGUUGUCCGGAAUUAUUGGGCGUAAAGAGCUCGUAGGCGGUUUGUCGCGUCGGCUGUGAAAACCCGAGGCUCAACCUCGGGCCUGCAGUCGAUACGGGCAAACUUAGAGUGUGGUAGGGGAGACUGGAAUUCCUGGUGUAGCGGUGAAAUGCGCAGGAUAUCAGGAGGAACACCGGCGGCGAAGGCGGGUCUCUGGGCCAUAACUGACGCUGAGGAGCGAAAGCGUGGGGAGCGAACAGG
rnacentral:rRNA from 1 species